AGCGAACGCUGGCGGCAGGCCUAACACAUGCAAGUCGAACGAAGCCUUCGGGCUUAGUGGCGGACGGGUGAGCAACACGUGGGAACGUACCUUUUGGUUCGGAACAACUCAGGGAAACUUGAGCUAAUACCGGAUGAGCCCUUAGGGGGAAAGAUUUAUCGCCGAAAGAGCGGCCCGCGUUAGAUUAGCUAGUUGGUGAGGUAAAGGCUCACCAAGGCAACGAUCUAUAGCCGGUCUGAGAGGAUGAUCAGCCACACUGGGACUGAGACACGGCCCAGACUCCUACGGGAGGCAGCAGUGGGGAAUCUUGCGCAAUGGGCGAAAGCCUGACGCAGCCAUGCCGCGUGAAUGAUGAAGGUCUUAGGAUUGUAAAAUUCUUUUACCAGGGACGAUAAUGACGGUACCUGGAGAAAAAGCCCCGGCUAACUUCGUGCCAGCCGCCGCGGUAAUAC
rnacentral:rRNA from 1 species